rnacentral:ncRNA from 2 species
GGUUUAUAAAGAAGCGGCGAGAGAUCAGGCUCGAAAACCCGCUGGCAACCCUUCAAUGGUGAAGAAGGUGCCAAUUCCUGUCCCGGAAAAAGAAUACCGGGGGAUAUAAAUU